rnacentral:rRNA from 1 species
GAUGAACGCUGGCGGCGUGCCUAAUACAUGCAAGUCGAGCGAACAGACGAGGAGCUUGCUCCUCUGACGUUAGCGGCGGACGGGUGAGUAACACGUGGAUAACCUACCUAUAAGACUGGGAUAACUUCGGGAAACCGGAGCUAAUACCGGAUAAUAUAUUGAACCGCAUGGUUCAAUAGUGAAAGACGGUUUUGCUGUCACUUAUAGAUGGAUCCGCGCCGCAUUAGCUAGUUGGUAAGGUAACGGCUUACCAAGGCGACGAUGCGUAGCCGACCUGAGAGGGUGAUCCGCCACACUGGAACUUGGGCAAGGUCCAGACUCCUACGGGAGGGAGCAGUUGGGAAUCUUUCGCAAUGGGCGGAAGCCUGACCGAGGCAACGCGCGUGGGUGAAGAAGGUCUUCGGGUCGUAAAACCCUUUUAUUUGGGAAGAAAAAAAGUUGAAAUAACCAUUGCCGUUUUGACGGUACCCAAACAAGAAGCCCCGGCUAACUUCGUG